AAAAGUGUACAAGCAAUAGGGAUAACCGCACCCUGAAGAGGAUUGUGAAACAAAACCCAUUCAAAAAUGUGGGGGAGAUUCACAAAGAGUGGACUGCAGCUGGAGUCAGUGCUUCAAGAACCACUACACACAGAUGUAUGCAAAACAUGAGUUUUAGCUGUCGCAUUCCUUGUGUCAAGCCACUCUUGAACAACAGACCAUGUCAGAAGCGUCUCACUUCAAAAAGGACUGUACUGCUGCUGAGUAGUCCAAAGUUAUACCCAAGAAUGCAGAAGAGUUGAAGGCCACUAGCAGAGCAACCUGGGCUCUCAUAACACCUGAGCAGUGCCACAGACUGAUCGACUCCAUGCCAAGCUGCAUUGCUGCAGUAAUUCAGGCAAAAGGAGCCCCAACAAAGUACUGAGUGCUGUACAUGCUAAUACUUUUCAUGUUCAUACUUUUCAGUUGGCCAAGAUUUCUAAA